rnacentral:misc_RNA from 1 species
UAUUUACCCCGGUUGCCCCUAGGGUUUCGUCUCGUUCUCUCCCUCGCCCUCAUCUCCCGAUCGCCGGCGAAAGCCAUGACGACGGCAGCGCGACCGACAUGGGCUCCGGCGAAGGGAGGCCAGGAGCAGGGCGGCACCCGGAUCUUUGGCCCCUCACAGAAGUACUCCUCCCGAGACAUGGCGUCCCACACCACGCUCAAACCCAGGAAGGAAGGGCAGGACACUCAGGAUGAGGUGCAGAGGAGGAAUCUCAGGGACGAGCUCGAGGAUCGGGAGCGCAGGCACUUCAGCUCCAAGGACAAAUUUUCAGAGGAUAGGGAUCGAAGGAAAGGUCCAG